rnacentral:lncRNA from 1 species
UGACUUAUGAGUAUCUUAAAAACUUGGCUCCUGUCAAAAUCAUUCUCGGAGAUACCUUGGUAGAGGCAUCUAACUGAGUUCGCCAAGGAUAUUAAAAAGUUCGUAUACACGUAAACAUAUUUUUAGUUUGAAAAACAUAGUCAUUCCUUGGCGUUAACGGAGUUCAUCAUCACGAGGUGGUUCGGUGUGACGUGAACUCUGUUCAUACCUCAGGAGAUAACCUACGCGCCUCUCCGACCGAGGUAUAUAUAUAUCUAGAUUUUGUGCCCCUUUAAUAGGCUGGUCUACAGAAUCUGCCUACUGCAGCAAGCUAAACCCACCAUACAAUAAAACUUUGACAAUAUGACAGGGCUAAUAUUUUACUACCCAGCCUGCACGGGUAAAAUAAAACAAUUCAUACAAUUCAUAAAAUACAGCCCAACCAGUCAUGCCAACACAAUAACAAUAUAACAUAAGCCAUCAAUUUCUAAUCAUAAAUUUACAAUAUACCAGUGGUCUCCAAUUACUCUAUUUUCAAAAUCGUUAUUUCGUUUCAAGACAAUUUAUAAAGUCUUUUCAUUUAAACACAUUUUGUUUACAAAACAUAAAAAUUUUCCAUUUGAACUCAUUUUCAUAAAAUUCACCAAAACCGAAUAAAAACAUACUUUAGAUAAUUAAAAUGAUGGUAAGGUUACUCACUAUUUCAGGAGUCGAAUUUCUAGAGUACUCUGACUACCGACCAUCGGGUACAAUUUCCUUGCCUUUAUCGGAG